GUGGGGAAUAUUGGGCAAUGGGCGAAAGCCUGACCCAGCAACGCCGCGUGAAGGAAGAAGGUUUUCGGAUCGUAAACUUCUAUCCUUGGUGAAGAUAAUGACGGUAGCCAAGAAGGAAGCCCCGGCUAACUACGUGCCAGCAGCCGCGGUAAUACGUAGGGGGCAAGCGUUGUCCGGAAUGAUUGGGCGUAAAGGGCGCGUAGGCGGCCCGGUAAGUCUGAAGUGAAAGUCCUGCUUUUAAGGUGGGAAUUGCUUUGGAUACUGUCGGGCUUGAGUGCAGGAGAGGAAAGCGGAAUUCCCGGUGUAGCGGUGAAAUGCGUAGAGAUCGGGAGGAACACCAGUGGCGAAGGCGGCUUACUGGACUGUAACUGACGCUGAGGCGCGAAAGUGUGGGGAGCAAACAGGAUUAGAUACCCUAGUAGUCC
rnacentral:rRNA from 1 species